rnacentral:rRNA from 1 species
CGUACCCCAAACCGACACAGGUGGUCAGGUAGAGAAUACCAAGGCGCUUGAGAGAACGAUGCUGAAGGAACUCGGCAAAUUACCUCCGUAACUUCGGGAGAAGGAGGCCUCACUCUGGGCAACCAGAACUGAGGGGCACAGACCAGGGGGUUGCGACUGUUUAUCAAAAACACAGGGCUCUGCGAAGCCGCAAGGCGACGUAUAGGGUCUGACGCCUGCCCGGUGCCGGAAGGUUAAAAGGAGAUGUGAGAG